CACCUUGGGGCCUGGCUUUACACAUGCAAGUCGAACGGUGAAGCAGAGCUUGCUCUGUGGAUCAGUGGCGAACGGGUGAGUAACACGUGAGCAACCUGCCCCUGACUCUGGGAUAAGCGCUGGAAACGGCGUCUAAUACUGGAUAUGAGCUGCGAUCGCAUGGUCAGCAGUUGGAAAGAUUUUUCGGUCUGGGAUGGGCUCACGGCCUAUCAGCUUGUUGGUGAGGUAAUGGCUCACCAAGGCGUCGACGGGUAGCCGGCCUGAGAGGGUGACCGGCCACACUGGGACUGAGACACGGCCCAGACUCCUACGGGAGGCAGCAGUGGGGAAUAUUGCACAAUGGGCGAAAGCCUGAUGCAGCAACGCCGCGUGAGGGAUGACGGCCUUCGGGUUGUAAACCUCUUUUAGCAGGGAAGAAGCGAAAGUGACGGUACCUGCAGAAAAAGCGCCGGCUAACUACGUGCCAGCAGCCGCGGUAAUACGUAGGGCGCAAGCGUUAUCCGGAAUUAUUGGGCGUAAAGAGCUCGUAGGCGGUUUGUCGCGUCUGCUGUGAAAUCCCGAGGCUCAACCUCGGGUCUGCAGUGGGUACGGGCAGACUAGAGUGCGGUAGGGGAGAUUGGAAUUCCUGGUGUAGCGGUGGAAUGCGCAGAUAUCAGGAGGAACACCGAUGGCGAAGGCAGAUCUCUGGGCCGUUACUGACGCUGAGGAGCGAAAGGGUGGGGAGCAAACAGGCUUAGAUACCCUGGUAGUCCACCCCGUAAACGUUGGGAACUAGUUGUGGGGUCCAUUCCACGGAUUCCGUGACGCAGCUAACGCAUUAAGUUCCCCGCCUGGGGAGUACGGCCGCAAGGCUAAAACUCAAAGGAAUUGACGGGGACCCGCACAAGCGGCGGAGCAUGCGGAUUAAUUCGAUGCAACGCGAAGAACCUUACCAAGGCUUGACAUAUACGAGAACGGGCCAGAAAUGGUCAACUCUUUGGACACUCGUAACAGGUGGUGC
rnacentral:rRNA from 1 species